rnacentral:lncRNA from 1 species
UUUGGGGUUUUUUCCUGCUUUUGAACUUUUUAGUUUCUUGUCAUUUGAUUCUUUGUUGUUGAAUAUUAGUCUUCUGUUGGAUUGGAGGGUCUUUCUGCUUUGGUGAGAGAAACUAUGGAAAAAGGUUUGGAGGAUUUGCGUUUAGAGGAUAGUGAGGAGGAUGCUUUGUCUAUUCCGAUUGGAGACGAAGUACAGGGUCUAGUGUUUAGCUUCUGUUUGGUAGCUUGUUUUUUUUACUGCUAGUGUGGUU